GACAGAAAUAACAAGUGCUUCAGUAAAGUUUUUUUUUUUUUGGCAUUCAUGGCCAUGGUUGUCAUCUGUACUGCAGGAAUGGGUGCAGGAAUGACUGAGGAUUCACUUAGGAUACAUGUUGUGGUGGCAGUUGCAGAGAAGUACGUGGGUAUAUGAGAUUUUACUCCAUAAGAUUUAAGGUGUUUUGAAGGUGUCCCGUCCUCCCAGGCUGGUGUAGGAUCAGAUAGGGCCAAAGUAGUGGAAUAGCUGUGAGGUUUUUAAUGGGUGUAGGGUAAAUUGGUAGGGCAAAGUGUAAUGAAUUCAUUAUACAGAAUAGUAGGCUGAUACACAGCCAAUACAGUAGGUGGCGGCAUGCACCUAACAUUUGUUUGCGGACCGCCAUAAUACCAAAGAAGAAGAAGCCCGUCGAAAUGGACGUCUUUGACAGUGUUGCUACAAUUUGUCUCGACUUCGUGAUUUUGCUGUAAUUCUGCAAAUCAGAGACUUCAGGAGUUCACUGGUCUAUCUAAUGCAAUAGCCAACCAAGGAGCAACCAGGAUAACUGAAGGAGUCUGGAUAUGAUCUGCAGUUGCAGAUGAACUUAUUGACCAAGUUCUCCUGGAAGCCUUUGACAACAUGGAGGAAAGUUGGGACAGCAUAGAGGAAGCAGGAGACUACAAAACAGAUGCAGCGAGACAUUUACCAAGCUGUUCAUGUCAGCAAAUCACUGAACACAAGGGAACAGAAGUGGGAGAAGAGAUCCUGACUGACAAGACAUAUAAGAGCAUGACAGCAUUUAAGGUGAAGAAUGAUGAAGGCUCUGCUCCUUUUUCGGACAUCCACAGUCAUUCAAAGAUCAUGGCUCAAGAUCUUCAACGAAAGGCGACAGAGAGGAGGGCAACAGAAGUCACCCACGAUAAGUGUCCUUCUUUCUCAGAAAGAUCAUGCCCUGUGGGCCUAACAAAUGUUCAGGAAAUAUGUAUUUUGUCUUCUGGAUUUGAUGUAAAAAAGAUCAGAGGGAGAGAUUUUGCUGCAGUGGAGGUUGGCACUAUAGUUUCUUCCCCCCCCUUUUCAAGCAGUCUGUCAAAAAACAUAAAGGGAAAUGUCACACUUUCACCCACAGAGAAGAUUGCUGUGACUCAAGGGCUAUCAGCCUCUUCUCUAAGUGACCACGCACGAUAUUCAAGAGAGGUAGUGGAUGAGAAGACCUAUGCUGAUGUUUCCCAUCAAACGUUACCACUUGCAGAUACCAAGAAAGGAAAAGAGAAAAUGUCCAUUAAUACCCUUUUGCCUGUGAUGGAAAAGCAACAAAAGCGAAAAGCUGGUCGGCCAUAUAAGAAGAAAACUCUAGUGAAAAUGGCUAAACUUUUAGCAAUUGGCCAAGAACGGUAUUCCGAUGCCACAGAAAUACACGGGGUGACCCACCAUAAGGAUACUCUAACACCCUCACGCAAACAAACAAAAGAGAAGAAAAAGAAAAAUGAAAUGUUUCCCCCAACUACCUCAAGUGACACAUGGUUUGGAUGCAAUUCAACAUCUGAUUCUUCAAACCACCUUACUAUUGCACAUUCAGAUGACAUAAUUUCUGCAUCUCCAAUAGCUGGACCAAGUAUUUCUAUGGAAUUGAACCAACCCUCCAGGAUACAGAAAACUUCAAAGACCACACAAAAAGAAGAAUUCAAAAUAACAGAAGUGUCGGCGCUGAAAUUGACCACUGUCACAAAGGGUCAAUAUUCUCCUAUAGAACAAGCUCUGACACACAACACCUUGGUGCCAUCUGAGAAUGCAUUGAAAGUACAAAAGAGAACUGGAAGAAAUAAAACAAUGAUAUCCAAAGGAGGAAAUAGAAGAACUCAGGCAUUCAAAAGAAACAGAAUGAAUCCGAGCAGCCUCUUCACCCCCCAGUCACAGAGUAGCAAUGCUACACACCAAGAAAAAAAUAAUUUGGGACUCUCUCAAGAUGAGACUCCACUGCAGUCAUCAGAUAUAAAAAUGGAGCCCAAGUACUUGUCAGACACUUCUGUCUUGGAUGUAACGAACAAUGUGAAGGAACACCAAAAAAGAGAACCUCCCACCAAAAAUUUUACAGAAGGGAGUAUUAAAAGUCCUGGUAUAAUGUCAAAAUGCUUUGACUUGUCUAUCACUCAAAAAGAUCCGGGGGCACGAAGUGACAUGAAGAGGGAAAUCAAAGAUAAUGUAACUGCUAACAUAUCAGCUGUAGGAAACCAGGGGGAAAUGACUCCAAGAACUCAAGAGCUCUCAAGACUAAAGAGUAUUGAGGAUGUGCUCAAAUUGAAGCGGAAAGCUGGUCGACCAUUCAAGAAAAAUAGGUUGUUUAAAAUGGAUAAGCUGGUAGCGAUAGCACAGGAAGGCAGAACUAAUGAUCCAGAGAAUAGUGGCAUGCCUAAAGAGUGUGUUCCAACAUUCCCUGCAUAUCACCCCCUAAAGUCAAAAGUAAAGAAGGAAAAGACUGACACACAAACCUUGGCAUCAAAUUCACCUACAAGCCCCUCAAGAAGAUCCAACAGAACAUGUAAAACUACCCCAAAAACUGUUCAAAAGAUGCAAGUCCUCACACACACGCUCGCCCAAUCAGUUUUAUCAGUUCCAUCCAAUCUCAUUGAACUCAAAUCAGAGGACACAACUCUUAUCUCCUCAACGGUCUCUCCAAUUCUUUUAUGUAGUGCAGAGAUUUUCCCUCAACAGGAAAGCCACAGAUGCGGGAAACCCCCGAAGAAAAACACAAAAGUUAACAAACACAUGACCACUGCAGUCCAACAUCCUCCAAUAUUUGCAGUAGUUUCCAAGGCCCUUGCUGAGAUUGUCUCUACAGGGAAUGGUAAAGAAGCAAAGAAAGACAUUGGAUCCAAAAGAAAAUACAAACGGGUGCCUGGAACUUGUGGUGUAUCAGAAUUGCUGUGUACAAAUGGAAUUCCUCAGGGAGAUAUACAUACCCAAACUAAUAGGGAUGAGGUGUAUUCCAAGACUUCAGCCCCAACUGUGCCACAAUCCCAGAACACACGGAAGCGUGAGGUUAAAAAUAAAAAAGGUACAGAAAAGGCAGCUGUCCUAUUAUCUGAUGAAACUGUCCUUCCUGUUUCAGAUUGCCAGUUGCAGGUGCAAAGUCACAGUGCAUCUCAGGAAACGCCUUUACUGCCAUCAAAGAUUAAGACACAAUCUGACACAUUAUACCUGACACCUAGAACGGUUAGGAAGAAAAAUCCAAAGACGUGUAAGGAAAUAAAAAAAACUUCACCGAAAGUUGAGAACGCACAGGUGCCAUCUCUGGAUCCUUCCCUUGGAGUGGAACAUAGAUGUCAUGAUGUGCCACAUGUGGAUCAAAUGAGACAAGUGGAAGCAGUGAUAGAGUCCGUAAUUGAGGAUCUCCACAAACCACUGAAACAUGUGAGUCAUAGAAAAAAUAUCAAAGAAAAGGCUAGCAAUGUUCUUGCAUUAACUCUGAAUCCUUCACUUGGAGUGGAACAUAGAACUCCUGAUGUGCCACAAGUGGAUCAUAUAAGACAAAUGGAAGCAGUGAUAGAGUCCGUGAUGGAGGAUCUCCACAAAAAAGACGCCAGUAAUGUUGCUCCAUUAAAACCAACCACCUUUUCUGCCUCGGAUAACCUGUUGGAACAGCAUAACCAUAGUACAUUACCUCAAUCUUAUUUUAUGUCAUCCGGAGAGACAAAAUCAGGCUUGAAACAUGCAAUACCCAAAACGUCAACAAAAAAUAAGUCAAAAACAUUAAUGAAAGACCAACUUACCUGCAAAAGCUAUUCAAAAAAUCCUAAGAAAGCAGCUAUGCAAACUUCAGUUCCUACAUCUGACACAAUGCAUGUGUCAACAGUUAAGAAGAAUUCCAAUAUUUGUAAAGAAAGAAAAAGAUCUUCACAAAAAGCUGAAAAAGCACAGGUGUCAUCUCUGGAUCCUUCCCUUGGAGUGGAACAUAAAAGUCCUGAAAUGGAUCAAGGGAGAGAAGAGGAAGCAUUGAUUGACUCAGUGAAUGAGAAUCUCCACAAACUGCUUAAACAUAAGGAUCAUCAAAAAAAGUUACAAGAAGAGGCCAGCAAUGUUUCUACAUCAACUCUGGAUCCAUCCCUUGUAGUGGAACAUAGAUUUCCUGAUCGAAUAAGACAAGUGGAAGCAGUGAUAGACUCCCUGAUUGAGGAUCUCCACAAACCACUUAAACCUAAUGGACAACAAAAAAAGUUUAAAGAAGAGACCAGUAAUAUUUCUGCAUUGGACCAAACAGAAUUUCUCUCCUCGGAUAACCUGUUCGAACAGCAUAACCAUUGUACGUUACCUCAAUAUUAUUUUCUGACAAAAUCAGGCUUGAAACAUGCCAAACCCAAAAUGUCAACAAAAAUGAAGUCAAAAGCAUGCAGUAAAGGGAAACUAUUUAAAAAUGCUAAGAAAGCUGCUGUAAUAACUUCAGAUCCUUCUAUUGGAGCAGAAAAUGGAUGUCUUGAAAUGCCUUCCCUCUUUACCCAAGCAGAGAAAGGAGGAAAGGGAGAUGUAAAAAACAAUAAAUGUGUAGGAAAGCAUGAAAAGGAAGCAGUGAUAUCAGUGACCGGUGAUCAUUUGGAAACAGCGGCCCACAAACCACAUCAACGUAAGGGGCCAAGAAAGAAGGUAAAAGAAGAGGACAGCAGUGUUUCCAAACCAGAACAAGUAGAAUCUACUACUUCAGAUAGCCAGCUAAAACAGCAUGACCACAAUGAUUCACAACAAGUUUCUUUGCUAGUAUCGGCGGCAAAGACAGAAUCAGGAAUAGAGCAUAUCAUGCCAGAAAUGGAAAUGACAAAUAAGCCAAAAACAUGCAGGAAAAGGAAAAUACUGUCCAAGCAAAGCUCAAAGAUCACUGAAACUCCAACCCCACCAAGUUCAAAACCAUCUCUUGGAGUGGAAUAUAGAUAUUCUGAAAUGGCUACCCCUUUCACACAUGUGGACCAGGUUCAGAAUAUUCUUGAUACUCCUAAAGGCUCCAAAGCGAGUAAUGGAAAUACUGGAUCAAACCAUCCAAUAUCCAAUGUCAGACAUUCCAGACGGACCUCCAAAUCUAAUUCACAUAUCACAACUGACUUGAUGCAAGAUCAAGCAAUUCAACAACCGUGUCCUCAACUGCAGCACAAGGACAGAUUACUGAAUUAG
rnacentral:lncRNA from 13 species